rnacentral:rRNA from 1 species
CCUACGGGUGGCAGCAGUGGGGAAUAUUGGACAAUGGGGGCAACCCUGAUCCAGCCAUGCCGCGUGUGUGAAGAAGGCCCUCGGGUUGUAAAGCACUUUCAGUGAGGAAGAACGCCUGGUGGUUAAUACCCAUCAGGAAAGACAUCACUCACAGAAGAAGCACCGGCUAACUCCGUGCCAGCAGCCGCGGUAAUACGGAGGGUGCGAGCGUUAAUCGGAAUUACUGGGCGUAAAGCGCGCGUAGGUGGCUUGAUAAGCCGGUUGUGAAAGCCCCGGGCUCAACCUGGGAACGGCAUCCGGAACUGUCAAGCUAGAGUGCGGGAGAGGAAGGUAGAAUUCCCGGUGUAGCGGUGAAAUGCGUAGAGAUCGGGAGGAAUACCAGUGGCGAAGGCGGCCUUCUGGACUGACACUGACACUGAGGUGCGAAAGCGUGGGUAGCAAACAGGAUUAGAUACCCCUGUAGUC